UUGCUUAACACAUGCAAGUCGAGCGGUAAGGCCCUUCGGGGUACACGAGCGGCGAACGGGUGAGUAACACGUGGGUGAUCUGCCUCGCACUCUGGGAUAAGCCUGGGAAACUGGGUCUAAUACCGGAUAUGACCUUACAUCGCAUGGUGUUUGGUGGAAAGAUUUAUCGGUGCGAGAUGGGCCCGCGGCCUAUCAGCUUGUUGGUGGGGUAAUGGCCUACCAAGGCGACGACGGGUAGCCGGCCUGAGAGGGCGACCGGCCACACUGGGACUGAGACACGGCCCAGACUCCUACGGGAGGCAGCAGUGGGGAAUAUUGCACAAUGGGCGAAAGCCUGAUGCAGCGACGCCGCGUGAGGGAUGACGGCCUUCGGGUUGUAAACCUCUUUCGACAGGGACGAAGCGCAAGUGACGGUACCUGUAGAAGAAGCACCGGCCAACUACGUGCCAGCAGCCGCGGUAAUACGUAGGGUGCGAGCGUUGUCCGGAAUUACUGGGCGUAAAGAGCUUGUAGGCGGCUUGUCGCGUCGAUCGUGAAAACUUGGGGCUCAACCCCAAGCUGCGGUCGUACCCUUAAGUU
rnacentral:rRNA from 1 species